rnacentral:rRNA from 1 species
UAUGCCUACGGGGCGCAGCAGUAGGGAAUUUUCGUCAAUGGGCGCAAGCCUGAACGAGCGAUGCCGCGUGAGUGAAGAAGGCCUUCGGGUCGUAAAGCUCUGCUGCGGGGGAAAAAAGGCAGCAUCAGGAAAUGGGUGCUGACUGAUGGUGCCCCGCCAGAAAGUCACGGCUAACUACGUGCCAGCAGCCGCGGUAAUACGUAGGUGGCGAGCGAUAUCCGGAAUGAUUGGGCGUAAAGGGUGCGCAGGCGGUCCUGCAAGUCUGGAGCGAAAAG